GGCUUUCAAGUCAGGUGUGAAAUCCUACAGCUUAAUGUAGAACUGCACUUGAAACUGGGAGCCUAGAGUAUGGGAGGGGCAGAUGGAAUUAGUGGUGUAGGGGUAAAAUCCGUAGAUAUCACUAGGAAUACCGAAAGCGAAGGCGAUCUGCUGGAACAUAACUGACGCUAAGGCGUGAAAGCGUGGGGAGCAAACAGGAUUAGAUACCCUGGUAGUCCACGCCCUAAACGAUGAACACUAGUCGUCGGAGUACUAGUUACUUCGGUGAUGCACUUAACAGAUUAAGUGUUCCGCCUGGGGAGUACGGUCGCAAGAUUAAAACUCAAAGGAAUAGACGGGGACCCGCACAAGUGGUGGAGCAUGUGGUUUAAUUCGAAGAUACGCGAAGAACCUUACCUGGCCUUGACAUUGAGAGAAUCCGCUAGAGAUAGCGGAGUGCCCUUCGGGGAGCUCGAAAACAGGUGCUGCACGGCUGUCGUCAGCUCGUGUCGUGAGAUGUUGGGUUAAGUCCCGCAACGAGCGCGACCCUCGUCCUUAGUUGCUAGCAGUUCGGCUGAGCACUCUAAGGAGACUGCCUUCGUAAGGAGGAGGAAGGUGAGGACGACGUCAAGUCAUCAUGGCCCUUAUGGCCAGGGCUACACACGUGCUACAAUGGGGCGUACAGA
rnacentral:rRNA from 1 species